GCCGAGAUAGCUCAGUUGGCAGAGCAUGGCAAUGGUAAUGCCAAGGUCGCGGGUUCGAAUCCCGCUCUCGGCU
rnacentral:tRNA from 1 species